GACGAACGCUGGCGGCGUGCUUAACACAUGCAAGUCGAACGGUGAAGCGCCUUCCUUUUUGGUGGGUGUGGAUGAGUGGCAACGGGUGAGUAACACGUGAGUAACCUGCCCCCUUCUUCUGGAUAACCGCAUGAAAGUGUGGCUAAUACGGGAUAUUCUGGGUCUGUCGCAUGAUGGGUCUGGGAAAGAUAUUGUUUCGGUGGGGGAUGGGCUCGCGGCCUAUCAGCUUGUUGGUGGGGUGAUGGCCUACCAAGGCGGUGACGGGUAGCCGGCCUGAGAGGGUGGACGGUCACACUGGGACUGAGACACGGCCCAGACUCCUACGGGAGGCAGCAGUGGGGAAUAUUGCACAAUGGGCGCAAGCCUGAUGCAGCGACGCCGCGUGAGGGAUGGAGGCCUUCGGGUUGUGAACCUCUUUCGCCAGUGAAGCAGGCCUGCCUCGUUUGUGGGUGGGUUGACGGUAGCUGGAUAAGAAGCGCCGGCUAACUACGUG
rnacentral:rRNA from 1 species